AACUAACGCUGGCGGCGUGCCUAACACAUGCAAGUCGAGCGGUCGCCAUUUUGUAGCAAUACAGAAGAAGCGAUAGCGGCAGACGGGUGAGUAACACGUAACCAAUCUACCUUACCGUCCGGGAUAACCAACCGAAAGGUUAGCUAAUACCUGAUACGCCUAUCGAACGGCAUCGUUUGAUAGUGAAAGCAGCAAUGCGCGGUUUGAGGAGGUUGCGGCCCAUUAGCCAGUUGGCGGGGUAACGGCCCACCAAAGCAACGAUGGGUAGCU
rnacentral:rRNA from 1 species